rnacentral:rRNA from 1 species
GUGCCAGCAGCCGCGGUAAUACGGAGGGGGCCAGCGUUGUUCGGAAUCAUUGGGCGUAAAGGGCGCGUAGGCGGCUUGGUAAGUCCGUUGUGAAAUCCCUCGGCUCAACCGAGGAACUGCGACGGAUACUGCUUGGCUUGAGUCCCGGAGAGGGUAGCGGAAUUCCCAGUGUAGCGGUGAAAUGCGUAGAUAUUGGGAGGAACAUCGGUGGCGAAGGCGGCUACCUGGACGGGUACUGACGCUGAUGCGCGAAAGCUAGGGGAGCAAACAGGAUUAGAUACCCCUGUAGUCC